rnacentral:rRNA from 1 species
GACGAACGCUGGCGGCGUGCUUAACACAUGCAAGUCGAACGAAGUGGCGAACGGGUGAGUAACGCGUAAUCAACCUGCCCUUCAGAGGGGGACAACAGUUGGAAAAGACUGCUAAUACAGCAUAUGGAAGGAGGGGAUUGCGUCUGAUUAGCUAGUUGGAGGGGUAACGGCCCACCAGGGCGAUGAUCAGUAGCAGGUCUGAGAGGAUGAAGGGCCACAUUGGGACGGAGACACGGACCAGACUCCUACGGGAGUCAGCAGUGGGGAAUCUUCCGCAAUGGACGAAAGUCUGACGGAGCAACGCCGCGUGAGUGAUGACGGCCUUCGGGUUGUAAAGCUCUGUUAAUCGGGACGCGGUACCGGAAUAGAAAGCCACGGCUAACUACGUGCCAGCAGCCGCGGUAAUUC